rnacentral:lncRNA from 1 species
UUCUAAAUCUGUGAUAUAUGAUUGAUAAACAUAAAGUUAACUGUAUAAACGUGUUCAAUGACUUUGUUACUUUUGAUGAUUGGAGAGCACUCACUUCAAUUUGCACACGAAAACUUUAGACUCAGUUUGAAUGCUCACGUGACUUUACGUUGCACGCUCACCUAACUUUACGUUGCACGCGUACAUGACUUUCCGUUUGUGCCUUGAAUAAUGAAUAAAGCCACGUCCACACGUACCAGCGUAUUUUUGAAACCGCUGAUUUUUCUAUGCGUUUGCACCUUUUGUCCACACGUAAUGUAUGUCUGGCCGUACAUUGUGUUUGUAUUUCCAGGCACAUUUCACUAAGCAGAACGCAGUCUUCAGAGAUAUCCACGUGAACGCUGUGAUACGUCUGACCUUCAGUCCGAAGAAGAAACCCAGACCAGUCUUAAAAGAAAGCACAAACCAAAUCCCCUGUACACAUAUACGGACUCAGAGGAUGAGCAGCCUGCAAAAAAACGGUUUCCCCAGGCCCCUCGAGUGAAAAUACCAGGUAAUAAAAUACUGUCUAGUGUCUGUGUACAUAUCUGUGUCUGACACGAGGAAACUUUUUUGACAAGUUGUCUGUAUUCUUAAAUACUUAAAAAAUUAUCUUUUUCUAAACAGCCCUCAUCACUCCAGUCUGCCCCCCAGCCCACUGAUAGCAACCAUCAUAAUGCCCCACCCAGCUUCCGGCACCUUUCGCCACUCCGGCACAAACCGACACAGCUUUGCGAUCUCGCCAGCAUGCAGAGUCUGAUGUCUUCCCUAUAGAUGGUAUGCUUUUAAAAAAAGCUUUAAAGCUGCAUCACAAUGUCAUUGUACUCUUAUCUAAAAAAAAAAACCCAAUUUAUACUCCUGAAUGUCAUCUUGUUGUGAUUUUUUUUUUUUCUGUAGAUUCCAGAGACUCUGUGAGGCCACUAUUACAAGGCAAGUUUGAAAAUCUUGGAAUUUCACAGUUUACAUGGUAUAACAAAUAUAUGUGACAGGCAAAAACUAGUAAACACUUUUAGCAGUUACAAGAACUAACAAAUGAAUAUCCAACAAAAGGGAAUAGAAAUACAUUGUACUGCCAAUACUUUGGUUUAUUCUUUGUAUGACUUGAAAAUCAGGCUUUAGGGAAAACUAAAUGACAUGUUUCUAUCAUCAAUUACAUGAAGUAAACACACAAGCACUUGCAUACACAUUUAAGACAUGAGACACGCUAAUUCCAUCUCAUAAAAUGUGUCUAUAGGUGAGACGCUUUGCGUUGAUUGGUGCUGCUGGACCACACUGGAGGUGCGAGUCCGCCGUGUAAUGGUUUAUGCCAUUACAAAGGAGCUGGCCUCUGUACUCAACUGGGCAGGGGAAAAAAAACCAAGGACCAGACAAAGCAAAAAAGGGCAUUUAAAGAGACAGCGCUGUGCAGAUGCAUAUUUGGUAAGUUUUAACAUUUAUUGUAGUUUUAUGAGCCUAAAGUGAACAAUAAAGGGAUCAAUUGAUGUGCUGGGUGCGUUUCACAUUUCCUAUGUCUGUUUUUUGCUAUAUUACUUUGUCUUUCUUAACAAGACUUUCAUGUCCGGUUAAUCUGGAGAUGGAGUCUUUGGUCUUCGGCUUGUUUUGUCCUCGGGUUGUACACUUUGUACAGCCCGAGGACCCCAUGUUUUCUUUUUCUUUUUUUUAAAGGAUACACGGCACACCAUGCUAAGACAUAUCACAUUUUCAGCUUAUAGCUCUUUGGGAAUCAAAUGCGGCAGUUUGCUGAUUUCCGCCUGGUGACUUUCAUGUUUAUCAGCCUAGGAGUUUACAUACUUUCUCCCUGCUGAAGACAAUUAACAAGAGCUUAUUCAUGUGCUCUAAUCCCCUUUUUUUGUCUGUGUGUCUAUUUUUGUCCUAGAUGGCCUGGCGCAGCAGGUAGGGGCGAACUCUGUCUGAGUUGGUCUUUGCUUAAGCAGUCCAGAAAUGGCUCAGAUAUGCUCCAGAUCGUACGGGUGGCGCGCAGGACGCACAUUAUCCAUCCCCAUCCCGGAGUAAAUAAUGAAAAGUGACGUGAAACAUAGAAAUGUAAAUAGGAAACUUUGUCUUUUAAUAAAGUAUCUUGCAAAUGAUACAUGUCGAUUGACCUUUUUUGUUUUUUUGUUUUUUUUUUCAAUAAAAAGCAACUGUACGAAAGAGGUGGAAAAUCAAUACCAUAGCUCAACAGUGUUUCAAUAUCAGAAUCUGACGUUGUUUCAACGUUAAAAAUGGGUGCAAGAGUGACGUUGGGUCAACGUCACACUUCAACGUUGCUUCAAUGACAUCGCCUGAUAUUGACUCAACAUUGUUUCAAUGUUUCCUUGCUAUCUGGGCACUCACACUCUCUUGUAUUAACUUUUGCUUAACUAUGUAAUAUCAGUUUGCUAAUUUAGUAUAACAUCACCGUCACUCU